rnacentral:piRNA from 1 species
UGCAGAGAACCAUUGCAAGACUUCGCCUA